rnacentral:lncRNA from 1 species
GCACAGCGCGGCGGGAGCGACACGCGGCAGGCGAGUGCGGCUGGGAAACGACCCGCGGCUCGGGGGCCGCGAGGACCCGGCCCUGGCCUGGCCUCUCCUCGCGUCCCCUGGCCCGCGCCCCCGCUCCCGGAGCGCCCGGCGGGCCCAGCGCACCCCACAACCGGCAAGCAGGUGAGACCGACACCCACCACCGCGCGGCGCCCGGGGCCUGGGUUCGGAGACCCGCGCGGCGCUCCCGCGCCCCCCCGGCCCGCCGCACUCACUGUUGUACUGCACCCCCUUGGCGAAGCGCCUCUGCAACGCCUGGUUCAUGGACUGCAGCCCGGCGGGGAUGUUCUUGUCCCGGCCCGGGGCCUGGUCCGACCCCACCAGCUUCUUCAGGGCGGAAAACAUCUUCCCGCUCGGACGUCCCAGCCCGGGCGCGGCCGGCGAGCUCAGCGGCGGCGGGGAAGGGGUGCGACUGGCACCAUGUCCCGGCGGCCCCGGCCCCCCCGGAGGCCGGAGCCGGCGCGGCCAGAGGCCGGGGUCCCGGCGGCGGAGCGCAGCCCCGAGCGGCGACUCGGGAACCUCAGCCGCGGCUGCUCCGCUCCGGCCCCCGCGGCCUCCGGCGCGACCGCUCUCCAGGAGUCAGCGCCGCCAUCUUGGCGCCGGCUCGGCGGGACGGGAGGGGUGCGCGGCUACGGGGCGCCGCGAGGGCCGCGGGGGCGCGGCGCGCGCGGUCGGCGCAUGCGCACGCGGUUCUGGCGCGCAGUUCCGGGCCCGGGCUGCCUCCUUACGCAGAACCUCCCCCGAUCCUGCGUGUCCCGUGCUCCUCUCCGAGACCCCGGUCGCCCCAGCGUCCGCAGCAGUCCUGGAAAAAUGUUUAUUUGUGUAGCAAAGCAGGGAGCGGGGCGGCGGGGCUACUUCUUCUUUUUCUUGGCCGCCUUGAGCUUCCCCUCGAUUAGCCGCUGCGCCUGCCUCUUGAUCUCGGCGCGCGAAGGGACGUAGCUGUGGUCCAUGUCGGGGAACUGGAAGGUGUCUGCGGGCGGAGGCGGCGGCUCGCACACGGGGCUAGCCCAGCUAGGCGCAGCCGCCCGACCCGCCUCUCGCCCCCGCCCUCCACCGACCCGGGCCAGGUGCCUUGCCCCAGGGACAGCCCCAGCGUGCCGGGAGGACUCAGCCCAGCCCAUUCGCAGCGGCUCACGCUGCCCUGCCUAGCCUUUCCCGCAGAACCCCCAGUGGAAGCUCCGGCCCAGGCCUUCACCGCGCUCCUCCCUGCUCCAGCCCUGGUGCCUCUCCUCCGGGCCCGUCUGGCAUGGCAUGCCUCCUCCUUUCGGAGAAAUUAACAAGGUAUUUCAGUGGCUUUAGCCUCCCCAUGGCAUCACUAAGUCACCUCCAUCAAUUAAAGUCCUGCAGGUACAACUGAUGCACCCUGUAGCCCCGCUGUCCCUCCAGGAUGUCCCGGUGGGAUGGGAGCCGGCGCCACCCCGACCUGUGUUCCAGCCACCCGCCUGCAGCCCGGGCCCCAGUUCCGGGGCCUGUACCGAUCAUAUCCUCCUCCCGGUUCUCAAAGCUGAUCCUGGUGUUGUACUUCUCCAUCAGAGUCGAGGACUCCAGGGUGUCCCUCACCUUUGUGUCGCCCUGCAGGGCAAAGCCCCCUUCAGCCGUGCAGACACUCUGAACGGGAGCCUGUCAGCUUUGAGGGGACGUGGGCUGUGCAGGUUCCUCCCAGCCCGGGGCUACCUCCUCGGUCCUGGACACCAUCUGCACUCUGUCAGCCAGGUACGUGAGCUUCCCCUCGCAGUACGCCAGCUUGCUGUUCAAAUCGAGGGUGUUGGAGAGCACCACUUCUCUCUGUAGGCCGGGAGGAGGGUCUCAUCUCCCCUCUGGCCCUGCCCAGGGACCUGGUGUGUGGCAGCUCAGCCUCACUCCCGGUACCUGGGUCGCAGGCAAGUUAAUGCCCAUCAGCCGGACAUAGAGGUUGUCGAUGCCCAUCUGGAUGGUCAGCAGCAGCUCCUGGCCCUUGGUCAUGUUGCUGUGCGCCAGCUGGAGCCUCUCUUCUUCCUCUUUUAGCAUGUCUGUCAUUUUCUUCUCAACGGACUUGAAGCUGCAGAAGGCAAUAGGGACACAGCAGUGAGGGGCACAGGCCCGAGAGCCAUGGUGGGCCACCCAGGAGCCCAGUCCUGAGUUGGGUGCUGUGCCAGAAUCAGGGACUCAGAAGCUCAGGUGUGUGCAAGUGGAGUCCCCUGGCCCCUCUGUGGGACACACAGGCUUGUUGGCAGUGGGUAUACUCCCAGCUCCCAGCCUGGCUGCAGCCCGGGGCCUUUGUGAGACUGGGGUGGGUGGCCCGCAGCCCCGGAAGCCCGGGGCACCUGAUGGAGCUAGGCUUCUGGCGGAACUUGAGCACGGCCUCCUCCAGCUCCAGCUGCUUCACCAGGGCCUUCAGCUGCACCCGCCACUCCUCACAGUCCUCCAUCUGCAGCUCCAGGUUCUCCUCCGUGUUCCUCUGGGCCAGGAAGCGGCUAGUGAUGUCCUGGCCAGUCCGGGGGAGAGAGAAGCAGGUGUGGGCCAGGAUGGUGGGCAGAGGGGGCUUCACAGAACUGGUUUCUUCUGGGCCCCUCCUAGACGCUAGUGCACUUUCUCUGUGCUCAUUCACAAGUGUGAUCACAGCUCACUGCAGCCUCAACCUCCCAGACUCAAGCGAUCCUCCCACCUCAGCUUCCUGAGUAGCUGGGACCACAGGUGUGCACCACCACACUUAGCAGGGGUGAAGCGCUUUGUGGAUGUCAUUGCACACGACCCUAAUGGCAGGCAGAGAGGGUAGAUAACCCCAUGUAGAGAUAAGGAGAUCAUCACUGAAGGACGUUGUGUCACUUGAGUCACUUGUCUGACAGUGGACAAGCUUGUGUCAGGGCAGUGGUUAGGAGCUCAAGGCCUAAUAAUAAUAAACGCAGAUACACAGAUGGGAUUAAGAUAAAAGGAUUUGGGGCGGCCGAGGGAGUUGCCACUUUGUGUGUCCAUUUCAGAGUGCCUCAGACCCCAGCCCAGCUCAGCCACCCUCCUGCCAUGCUCCGGGAGUGCCAGGGAGCAUUACCCAGACGUGAGAGGCUCAGCCACCCUCCUGCCAUUCUCUGGGAGCGCCAGGGGCAUUACCCAGACGUGAGAGCACCGUACAGCACUCUUGACCUUCUCCACCACAGCAGUCACGCCCGACUGGUAUUCCAUUUCUGCUGUGGAGGUCUCUUUUCUCCUCACUGGCAGAGCAGAGGGGAGGGGCAGUCAGCAUGCAGGGAUGGCUCAGGGGCUCUGUGUAAGGCUGUCAGACACCUCUGUACCUGCCCAGCUGCUGGGGCGGCCACCCAAGACACAGGCAUCCUUCAGAGAUGCCUGCCCCCGCCCCAACCUGCUCCCUCCUCAGCCCAGCCCUGCAGGGACGCCCCAGGCAGCCCCAGAGCAGAGGUGGACCCGGAGUGAGUGGCGCAGCACUGUGAGCACUGUGGGCCCGGUGGUGCUUCUCAGAGGCAGCUUAGGGGUCAGGAUGCUCAUCCUCUGCAGAGUCACUGGGGACUGGGCCCUUGGUGCAGGGCCCUUGGGUGCUGGGGCCAGCAUCUCUGAGGCCACAUUUGGCUACAGGCUCUCAGCCUCUGGAGGGAGAGGCAGGGACCUGUCCUUCCCUUCACCCUGGCGACCACAUGUCACACCUGGCCUCAGGGUGACUUGAUCCGUUGGCCUGAAUCAGUGCCAGCCUCUCCUUGGGACCCUGGCUGGGGGCAGGUGGGGAGCUGAGCGCUUACAUUUCAGGGUCUCCGUGCUCAUCAGGUUCGAGGGGAAGUCCAAGUCCAUCUGGCCCUGAUGGGAGGUGGGGGCGGGGAAGGGAUGAGACAUCCUUGGCAGGGAGUGGGCCCUGAGUGGUGGCCCUGAGCCUGUGUCCACCCAGCUGUCAUGGGGAUGGGCAGCCAGCCAGGCCCUGGCCUGGGGCUUACCCGGCGGUACUUCUCGCUGGUCUCCUUCGUGUGGAUCUUGUCGAUCAGCUUCUUCUGCUGGUUGAGCCGGUUCUCCCUUGCCCGGCGCUCCUCGAUGAAGGACGCCUCCCUUUGCCUCAUGUUCCUCUGGGGACAUGCGGGUGGGCACAGGGUUGGGGAGCUGUCUCAACAAGGCCCCUAAUGGCAGUAAAGCCAGCGGGCGGUUGGCCAUGCUCACCUUACUAGACUUUGGAACUGCAUCCCCGGCCAAUGGCCACACCCUUUUCCUAAACCACUUGUGCCCGUGGCCCCUCAGCUCACGGCCCUCCUUGCCCAUGCCUCAGAGCAUGUGCCAGCCCAGACGCUCUGCUGCCCUCCAGCCGCUGGCCCCCAGCUGCCUCCUGGCCAGGUCCACCUAGAACUCACGGAAGUGCAUUCAGCCUGCCUGAAGACAGAUUCAUCCUCUUCCCCAAAACCUGGCCUCUUCCAGCGUGCCCUUGGGCAGCUAAAACCGUCAUCUGCUAACCCCUGCUCACGCACCCCAGACACUGCUCUCACCCUCGCCACUCUCGUUGCCAGCGCUUAGUGGGGUUGCCUCUUGAGGAGUUCUCAGCUCCGUUGCUCCUGGCCACCCCUUCUCCACCCCGGGUAUACCCAGGUGAUCAGCGCUUCUGCCCUGGCACCUUCCAGUCCCUGCAGCCUGAGUACACCCUUUCUGAAGCACAGACCUGGUCACAUCUUUCCUCCACCUCCUCCCAGGGCUCCAGGUCAGUCCUUGGGCCCCCAGCCCAGCCGCCUCCGUGGACUCCUGGGGCCUGUGCCUCUGCAGCCUCCACUGCCCUGGCCACACGCUGCUCCAUGUAUCACACCCCUCCCAGCCCAGGGCCUUUUCCCAAGUUGUACCUCCUCCUCCCUAGCCCUGGCCACACCUGACCUUUGCGGGUUCAAUCCCUCAGCCCAGCUCAAGCACUGUCUUCCUGGAAAGCCAUCUGCCACCCCACCUGUCUCUGCUGAGCUGGCUCAGGGGCUGUGUGGCAUUUCUUCAUGGACUACUGGAUGAGUGCCACCCACUUCAGGAGGACAGGGUCUGCCUGUCCCGGUCCCUGCUGUAUCCCCAGAGCCUUGCAGGGACCUUGGCACAGACUGGGUGAAUAGGUGACCCCCGCCCUGGCCCGGCCAGUUCUCUCCCUCUCCUCUACUUCAUGGCUCCUGUGCUGGAUGGGACCUGCUCUGUCCAGUGGGUGAGCAGAGCAGGCUGGCCGGGCUGGCCACUGGAUCCUUCUGGGGAUUGUAGGCAGUGUGGGCAUGGGGGUCUCCUGAGAGACCCUGGCCAGAAGACACAAGAGAGCCCGCCCUGGGGGGCCCCAGCCCUGGGCCCUGAGCUCACCUUGACCCCAUCCGAAGAUCCAAGAGGGCUGGCCCUGGGGGGCCCCCAGCCCUGGGCCCUGAGCUCACCUUGACCCCAUCCGAAGAUCCAAGAGGGCUGGCCCUGGGGGGCCCCAGCCCUGGGCCCUGAGCUCACCUUGACCCCAUCCGAAGAUCCAAGAGGGCUGGCCCUGGGGGGCCCCCGGCCCUGGGCCCUGAGCUCACCUUGACCCCAUCCGAAGAUCCAAGAGGGCUGGCCCUGGGGGGCCCCCAGCCCUGGGCCCUGAGCUCACCUUGACCCCAUCCGAAGAUCCAAGAGGGCUGGCCCUGGGGGGCCCCCGGCCCUGGGCCCUGAGCUCACCUUGACCCCAUCCGAAGAUCCAAGAGGGCUGGCCCUGGGGGGCCCCCAGCCCUGGGCCCUGAGCUCACCUUGACCCCAUCCGAAGAUCCAAGAGGGCUGGCCCUGGGGGGCCCCCAGCCCUGGGCCCUGAGCUCACCUUGACCUCAUCCGUGAUCAUCAUGGCAUCUUGGGACAUGAUCUUCAUAUCCGACAGCUCUGAGCAGUAGUUGACCACGAGGUUCUGCAGCUUGUCCAGCUCAAUGGGGUAUCCUGCCAGCACCUGUGUUGAAUGGGGUUCUCUUGUGGCCCCUACAGAGUGGGCUGCAGUUGCCCCGAGCUUUUAUCCCCCGACUAAGAGCCCUGAGAACAGUGAUAGGUUCUCCUCUGUGGCCCCAGCCACCUCCCCCACUCCCCGCUGGGCACAACGGUGAUGAAAGGUGUUUCACAGGGAGUGGACAGUGCUGGCCUGGUGGACUCUUUCACCACCUAGGGUCCAACAACCCAGAGAGACUGAGAGAGUUUGUGAUGAAAUGCUCUGCAGAAAAGGCUGACUGAAACCCGGGGAGGUUUGGGGACAGUUCUGCUUUGAAGUGAAACAGAGGGGCUCAAGACAUGGGCUUGGGGUCAGAGAGUCAGGAUUCAAGGCCAAGGCAGCUUCUGACCAGCUAGUUUAGCUGUGUGACAUUGGGAAAGUUACUUAAUCUCUCUGUGUCCCCAUUUGUAAGAUGAUGGCUCGUUCAGAAGGUUGCCAUCAGGAUGAAUUGAGUGUAAAAGGAAUUAUUUAGCCCAGAACCAGGUACAUACGUGCUCAGGAUAGCUUUGCUAUAGUGGUUUGUUUUUUGUAACUACAAGCAUGAGCCACCAUGCCCAGGCCGGGAAUAAUUGUUUUUUAAGUGUGUAUGUUCUAAACAGAAGAAGGCGCUACCAGAGGAACAGAAAGCACCCAGGCGAAGGAGGGGCAUGGACAGGGGUGGGGAGAGGGGUGGGCCCAGGAAGCAUAGAGGGGCAGGGCUUCCAGGUGAGCCAAUAGGACCAGGGGCCAAGGCAAGAGGGACAAGCAGAGGACGGUGCUGAGAGCCACCUGGGCUGGGACCACAGCAGGAAAAGAGCUGCGAUGCAGCCUCCGUCCACCACUCCUCCUAAACUGCACUUCCAUGCUGUCACCUUCCCGAAGCAUGGCUCUCCAGAGCUCCCCUUUGCCCAGUCUUAGGGUGAGGGUGUUUCCAGCUGGCUCCCCGCCCCAUCCACAGGUUGCUCCUCUUAGCACCUCCUGUGCUCUCCCUAUCUACAGCCCAUCUGGAGUAGGUUCUGCUUUGUGGCAGCCCGAGGGGCGGUGCUCAGCCUCCCAUGAAGGGGGUCUUCCCUCACAAUCGGACUGCUGGCUGCCUUUGGCCUCGUCUGCAGGGAGCAGGGCGGGUGGGCUGGCUGGGACGGCAGCAAGCCCUGCUUACAGGCCCAGCGGACCCUCAAAGGUGCAAGGACUUUCUGAGGGUGCAGGACCUGUCUGACUCUCAGAGGCCCAGGCAAUGAGAAAAUGACAGGCAAGAUACAAACAAUACCAAAUCAUUUAAUACGUGCAAGAAAGUCCGAAGAAUUCUGAUAUACCCCACGAUAUGCUUUUUUGGAAUAGCCAAAAAUGAAGUUUAAAAAAACGUUUUCCACAUGCCUCGGCGUCCUGCGUAGCCGGUGGUCAGGCAGAGCUCCCUCUCCCUGGCGGGUGCGGGGCGGCUCCGCCCCAGGACGCUCCCGCCCCUCCCAGAUCCCAGCCCCUGACCCCCGCCCUUCCCGGGCCGCUGGGCUCACUGUCUUCAGAUAAUCCAGCAGGUCCAAAUACAGCAGGUGGAUGUUCUGGCUGGUGAUGAUCUUGAUCAUUGUCUUCUCGAUGUUGUUCUCCAGCUGGCGGAUGAUCUGGGGCGGACCGAGGGCGCAGUGAGAGGGCGUGGGGACCGGCCGCCCGGAGGGUGUCGGGGCUGGGUUUUCUCCGGAGAGGGUCGUGCUCUCUUAGCCCCGCCCCUCCCGUGAGCCCUCCCCAGGGGACCCGCAAGUCCCGCCCCCCGGUGGCCCCGCCCCUCCCGUGAGUCUUGCCCCAGUGGACUCCGCCCCGCCCUCCCAGCCCCGCCUCUCCACCUGCAGCAGCCGCAGCUCCUCCUUGCUGGCGUCGGGCUGGCUCCGCAGGCUGUCCAGCUCCAGCUGCAUGCUCUCCAGCUUCUGCCCGCGCCGCCGCACCAGGUGGAUCAGUAGGUUGUGCAUGUUCACGCGGUCGAAGACGUACUUGCGCAGCUUCUCCCGCACCACCUGGGUCGGGAAGGGCACCGCCCACUCGUGGUUGCGUAGGGGGCCGCCAUGGAGCCCGCCAGCAGGCGGGCGGGUGGAGGCUCGUGGCAACCCCACAGGGAACCUGGGGCUGGGCACCUGCUCCGUCCCUCGUCGGCUCCGCAACAUCUAGUGGGGGGGUGCUGGCAGGGGUGGGGAGGGUUGGGUCUCGAGGCCCCUCCUGCCUGGUUACCUCCAUGGUGCUGCGGCAGUGCGCCAGUCGCAAAGGCAAGUUUUUCCCGCAGGCCUUGGAGAUGGUCCACUGGUCAUACUGCGGAGCGGCGGCGGCUGAGCUAGAGCGGGCCCUUUGCGCACCCGCAGCCGCUGGCUCCUCCAGGCAUUCUCCCCAGGGCCUCUUGUAUCCCACGCUAGCCCAGUAGCGAGAUCCCUGCUUCCACGAGGAGCAGAGAGCCGCGGGACCCCAUCCUGGCCAUCCAAGUUCGGAGGCGACGUGGUAGGGGGGUAUGCAGAGGAGGGCCUGGGUGUCCCCUAGCUGGCCGGAGAGCCAGAGGGGGCCCCUGCUGCAGGAUGUGGGCUCACAGAUGCCAAGCCCUCGGGUUGGGUGGUGGGAAACCUGCCCACCGGAUGCUGGGGUGACUGGAGCCCAGGGCACAGGUCCUAGCAGAGCCCCUCCUCACAUGCCCCCUGGAUCCAGAAAGAUUGGGGUGGGGGUGGAGAGGAGGUGCCCGCCCUCCGAGUGUGUGUGUACUCAGCUCCUGCCCUGCUCGCCAGGCAGAGGGGAGGGGCGGCGUUUGUGUACCUUCUUGGCCAAAGCCCAGUCCUGGGCCCCGCGGCGGAUGUUGCUGCGCAGGAGGGCCAGCGUGGCCUUGUUCUGGUCCAUAUUCUCUUUCACCCCUUGGAUCUGGAGUGCCCGACACUGCUCUGUGGGCAGGUGGAGGGGACACAGUGGCUAGGAUUGGGCCAAGGGCCUGGCCUGGAAUCCCCUGGGGGAGGCUUGCAUCAGGGAGGCCCCAGGCCCCAGGGUCCAGGGGGAUGCCCCCUCCAUGGCCAAGAUCCCUCCUCCCGCCCUGUCCUGGGGGACACCGCUCCACUGCCCAGCAGCA